rnacentral:lncRNA from 1 species
AUAAGGUCAGGUUGUAAAAAUAAAAUAUAUUAAAAAAUAAAAUCCAUUCAGACAGCCAGAUAGAAAUAAUACUGGUUGCUUCUGCUGAAAAAAUGUUAUCUCAGCCAUGUCUAUGCAGAUAAAUAAGAGUGCUGCAAUGCUGCUUUGACAGCCAUCCAAAUUUAGAAGGAUACAUGGCUGAAAUUGCAGUUGCCCUGUUCAUUCCAUACCUCAUCUUUGCCUCUCCAUACUCUUCUGUCCUUCCAGUUGAUUGACUCACACAACAUGACAACAGCACUCAUCCACUUGGCAGAGUGGGGUCUUACUCCUCCAAAAAGGCCGAACCACUAAGAAGAGACUGCAGGGCUACUGAUCCUGAGAUCUGGUGCUAAAACAUCUAUCAGACCUUGAGCGGGUACCUCCCACUGAUCCAUCAACCAUGGUAGCUGUGAUGGGGUGGAUGUUCCAAACCACCCAUCCCAGGUGUGACAGCUGCUACAGUGGCAGAAGUGAGUGCCUCCCUUCUGAAUCCAUUUUAAAAAGACGUGCUAUGAAGAACUGCUGCAAAGAUCACUGAGAGGAAGCGGAUCUUGGAAUUUAUAGUGGCUUAGGCUUUGUAAUUAUCAUGCUUGCUUUAUAGUACGCUUGGAUUGUUUGUUGUUGAUUGAUUUUAAAAAUGCUUAAUGUUUUGGUCAGUGUUUUCCAGACUUUGAAUGCUGUGAUGUAUUUUGGGUUUGGGAGGAUGUGAGUAAAAGUAUUGAACACGUACAUACAUUUUCAUACAUAAGAAUGAAACAUGUACAUGUAUGGACAUGUGCAUACAUUUUCAAUACAUAAGAAUGUGUUGAAAAUUCAUUCUGGAUAAUAUUAGGGAUAUAUUUGGUAACUUUAUAAAGUGAUCACUAAAGGGCAAAACACAUCUGGCCUUUUUUGAUACAU